CAGAUCGUAUGGUCUUGUACCGACGACAGAUCUUUCAAAUGUCUGCCCUAUCAACUUUUGAUGGUAGUAUCUAGGACUACCAUGGUUGCAACGGGUAACGGGGAAUCAGGGUUCGAUUCCGGAGAGGGAGCCUGAGAAACGGCUACCACAUCUAAGGAAGGCAGCAGGCGCGUAAAUUACCCACUCCCAGCCCGGGGAGGUAGUGACGAAAAAUAACAAUACAGGACUCAUUAUAGAGGCCCUGUAAUUGGAAUGAGUACACUUUAAAUCCUUUAACAAGGACCUAUUGGAGGGCAAGUCUGGUGCCAGCAGCCGCGGUAACUCCAGCUCCAAUAGCGUAUAUUAAAGUUGUUGCGGUUAAAACGUUCGUAGUUGAACUUGUGCUUCAUACGGGUAGUAUAACUAUAAUUGUAGUCUGUACUAUACCUUAUGUAUGUAAGCGUAUUACCGGUGGAGUUCUUAUAUGUAUUAAAUACUUGUAUUUAUAUGUAUUCCUCCUAUUUAAACCUGCUUCAGUGCUCUUCAUUGCGUGCUGUUGUAGGCCGGUACAAUUACUUUGAACAAAUUAGAGUGCUUAAAGCAGGCUCCAAAUGCCUGAAUAUUUUGUGCAUGGAAUAAUGAAAUAAGACCUCUGUUCUACUUUCAUUGGUUUUUAGAUCAAGAGGUAAUGAUUAAUAGAAGCAGUUUGGGGGCAUUAGUAUUACGACGCGAGAGGUGAAAUUCUUGGACCGUCGUAAGACUAACUUAAGCGAAAGCAUUUGCCAAAGAUGUUUUCAUUAAUCAAGAACGAAAGUUAGAGGUUCGAAGGCGAUCAGAUACCGCCCUAGUUCUAACCAUAAACGAUGCCAGCUAGCAAUUGGGUGUAGCUACUAUUAUGGCUCUCUCAGUCGCUUCCCGGGAAACCAAAGCUUUUGGGCUCCGGGGGAAGUAUGGUUGCAAAGCUGAAACUUAAAGGAAUUGACGGAAGGGCACCACCAGGAGUGGAGCCUGCCAAAUUGGAAGAUGAACAAGUCGUUGUCAGCAAGCACCAACGCCAAAUCAAGGAAUUGCAAGCCCGCAUCGAAGAAUUGGAAGAAGAAGUCGAAGCCGAACGUCAAGCUCGCGCCAAGGCUGAGAAACAACGUGCUGAUUUGGCCCGCGAAUUGGAAGAAUUGGGUGAACGUCUUGAAGAAGCUGGUGGUGCCACUUCUGCCCAAAUUGAACUUAACAAGAAGCGUGAAGCCGAACUCAGCAAAUUGCGUCGUGACUUGGAAGAAGCCAACAUUCAACACGAAUCCACCUUGGCUAACUUGCGCAAGAAGCACAA
rnacentral:rRNA from 1 species